UGACCGAUUUCUCCUGGUGUUCA
rnacentral:miRNA from 1 species